rnacentral:rRNA from 1 species
GCUUACGGCCAUAACACCCUUUCUGCGCCCGUUCUAGUUUGAUCUAGGAAGCUAAGCAGGGGCAUGGUUGGUUAGUACUUGGAUGGGAGACCGCCUGGGAAUACCAGGUGCUGUAAGCU